UGGGGAAUAUUGGACAAUGGGGGGAACCCUGAUCCAGCCAUGCCGCGUGUGUGAAGAAGGCCUUAUGGUUGUAAAGCACUUUAAGCGAGGAGGAGGCUACUGAGACUAAUACUCUUGGAUAGUGGACGUUACUCGCAGAAUAAGCACCGGCUAACUCUGUGCCAGCAGCCGCGGUAAU
rnacentral:rRNA from 1 species